rnacentral:tRNA from 4 species
ACUUUCAAAGGAUAAUAGUAAUCCAAUGGUCUUAGGAGCCACUGAUCUUGGUGCAAAUCCAAGUGAAAGUA